rnacentral:rRNA from 1 species
AUGCCGGAUUGAAAGCUGGAGGCAUCUUUGGUUUUCAAGCUGGGGCCGUAAGGCUGGCGCUUCUGAUGAGCCGCGGCCUAUAGCUAGUUGUAAGGUAACGCUUACCAAGCUAAGACGGUAGCUGGUUGAGAGGACACCAGCCACCUGGAACUGGGCACGGUCAGACACCUAGGGUGGCAGAGUCGAGAAUUUUCACAAGGGCGCAAGCUGAUGGAGGACGCCGCGGGGGGAUGAUGGCUUCGGCCGUAAACCCUGUCAUUUCGAUCAACCUUAUUGUUUAGAGAUGAUACCUGAUAGAGCGAAAGAGAAGGGACGCUAACUCUGGCCAGCAGCGCGGUAAUAAGAGGUCCCAGCGUUGUUGGAUUCACUGGCGUAAAGGUGCGUAGGGGCGGGGUAGUCGGAUGUAAAUCUCCGGCUCAACUCGGAAAUGGCAUUGGAAACUGCUCUGCUCGA